AUGCCAAGCGCUUUCCUACAUGUAAGGGUGGCAGCGGGCCCCCGGCAAAGCGUGCUCGACCACUGCACAGACACCAUCGUGGAGUACGGGCGC
rnacentral:ribozyme from 1 species